rnacentral:lncRNA from 1 species
UUCUGCAAUCAAUUGUAUUUUCAUUAAAUUUGGUAAACAUAAUUGAUACUAGUUCAUCUUAAUCUCUCUUUUUAUAACUAAAAUACUAAUUACUAUCUUGAGCUAUCAAUAGAAGUUAAAUCUUUAAGUCUUUGUUUCAUAUAAAUUAAUUAUAAUACUAGUUACCAUCUUCAGCUUCUGAAUGAUGACACUAGAGCCACUAAUUCCUCAUGGAUCAGAUAUGAAAGUUGGUGCUACUUAGGGAAUUUUAGAUAAGACUUGAGAGACUUAAAGAUGGGUGUUUAUCUAUAAUAUGAACAUCCCUGUAAAUCAUUUUAUUUCUUUUAAAUUUAAUAGAGGUCGAUAAAACUUAAAUCUCUUUAAAUCAGCUCAUGCCAUAUAAAGUUUCGAAAGAGACAUCAUAUUCAAAACACGGAAAGGCUAUUUCAAAGAAUAAAAAAAUUAUACAACUCUCGUAUGGAAUAAAUUAGUGGCCGAUUAUUAGGAGUAAAUAUGAUGUAAAUUAGUUAGGAAAGAUUUAUUCUCAUCCCUUAAAUUAAGAGAUAAGAGCUGCGGGUUGUUACAAAAUAUUGUUGGGUAGUUUCCUAUUCUCCUAGAAUAGUCUAUAUAUAUGCUGUAUUAUUUACACUGAAAAUAUAUGAAUUACUUUCAGAUUAAUUCUCUAAAUUACAACAUGGUAUCAGAGCCUAAAUUAGGUCUCUUGGGCUUCAGUUUUUCAGCCUUCAUUGCUGCGUUUUGUUUUUUCUUUUGUCUCAGCGUCCAUUCAUCGCUGCGGGUUUCAUCCGUUCAUUUGAACGUGUUUCGUCAUGUCUAUUAUGGAAGCCACUGCCUCACAUGUUGUUACUGAUCAAUCGAAGGAAUUCAACUUGAUUAACAUGACUGGAGAUCUACAAAAUAUUCGUCCUACGUGUAGAUUAAAUGAGAAAAACUAUCUCAAAUGUCUCAAUUUGUUAGAACAUAUCUGAAGGGCAAAGGGAGACUCGAUCACAUUCUCGGAACCGAACCUAAAGAGGAAGAGCCAACUUUUGAAGCAUGGGAUGAAGCUGACUAUUGGAUCAUGUCAUAGCUGUGGGACUCAAUGGAUCCAGCCAUUAGUGGUGAUACUUGCAUGUUCCUGACAACGGCAAAAGAGAUAUGGGAUUCUAUUCAUAGAACCUACUUUAAAGCUUGUGAUGCAGCCCAAGUGUACGAGAUUAAGACAAAAACCGGUGCAACCAAACGAGGGGCCAAAACUGUGACAGAAUAUUGGAAUAUUCUAAAAAAUCUAUGGCAACAGGUUGGAUCACUAUUGGGUGUUCAAGAUGAAAUGCUUAGAAGAUGCUGCCAUUUUGAAGAAUUUUAUGGAAAAGGAUGGGGUCUAUGAUUUUUUGGCGGGGCUCAAUCCAGAAUUUGAUCAGGUUAAAGUUCAAAUACUCAGCAAGGAAGAAACAUCUUCAUUGGAGGAGACUAUUUCUUUAAUUCGGGCAGAAGAAAGUAGACGGGGUGUGAUGUUGGAGCCACGAGCAGUAGGGGGAUCAGCUUUGGUGACCAAAACUGAACAUCAAAACCGAGAAAGAGGAAAGGUAGACUUGUCCAGCUUCCCAUAAAGACAACCAGUGGAAAGCCAACAAAGACGACUUAUGGUGCACUUUCUGUAAGAAGCCUAGGCAUAUGAAGGAACGUUGCUGGAAAUUACACGGCAAACCAUCAACCUUGGGCCGAGAGUGGGGAAACCGUGGAGGUCAGCCCAGAUUCCAGGCUUAUCCGACCAAGCAACUAGAUAAAACUGAGGAGAAGGGUGGAUUCAAUAGUAAGAAAGUUGCUAAAAUUCGAAGUUUGUUAGGAUCACUCGAGAAACCAUCUAGUAUGUGUUCAUUGGCACCCUCAACUAAGCCUCCAUUUUCAUUUGAAUUGCAUACCUCAGAUAAAAGUUUUGUCAACUCUUGGAUAAUAGACUUAGGGGCCACUGAUCACAUGACGCACACCUCACAACAUUUUAGCACCUACACUCAUUGUCCGAGUGAUAGAAAGAUUGUUGUAGCAAAUGGCCCCCUAACUAUGGUUGCAGGAAUAGGUGAUAUCUAUGUAACACCCUCACUUAUCCUUAGAGAUGUCCUUCACGUACCAAAAUUAUCAACAAGUCUUGUCUCCAUUCAAAAGCUUACAAAAGAUCUCAAAUGUUAUGCAAUUUUUUAUCCGUCUUACUGUGCUUUUCAGGAUCAGUGUUCGAGGAGGAAGAUUGGACUUGCUAAGGAAAGGAAUGGACUUUACUAUCUUGCAACACCAAAUGCUUCGGAGAAGGUCAUGAAUAAAGCGUCUUCAUCAUUUCUUAGUUCGUCUAAUAAAGAUACCAUUUGGCUUCACCAUUUCCGCCUUGGUCAUCCGUCUUUUAGAGUCUUAGAUAAAAUGGUAAAGGUUGGGAAUUUAGUGAUUUUCAUUGUAAUGUUUGUGAGAUUGCAAGACAUCCACGUGUCUCAUCCAUUUGAUUUGGUUUAUAGUGACAUCUGGGGGUCAUAGUGACAUCUAGGGACCAUCCACAAUUCCCAACAUUUCAGGGUCUCAGUGGUUUGUUUCCCUAAUUGAUGAUUGUACUAGGGUUACAUGACUAUUCCUACUUAAGUAAAAAUCUAAUGUGAGUGUAACAUAUCCCUAAUUUUCAUUCUAUGAUUCAAAACCAAUUUGGGUUAAAAAUUAAAAACUUUUAGAUCAGACAAUGCAAGGGAUUAUUUCAAUCAAAGUUUAUCAUCAUAUUUUCAAAAAGAGGGGAUUAUUCAUGAAUCUUCCUGUGUCAAUACAUCACAAUAAAAUGGGGUAACAGAGAGGAAAAAUAGUCAUUUACUUAAUGCAACCUGGGCACUAUUAUUUCAUGGAAAUGUUCUAAAAUCAUAUUAGGGAGAAGCUAUCGUAACUGCAACUUACAUGAUCAAUAGGCUACUUUCCCGAGUGUUGGACGGACUAUAGAACUCCUAUGGAAACUCUCACUCAAUUCUACCCGCAUUUUAGAACAUCAAAUGGCCUUCUACCUAGAGUUUUUGGUUGUACCUCCUUUGUCCACAUUCAUAACCAAAAUAGAAGGAAAUUAGACCCUAGAGCAAUUAAGUGUGUGUUUCUCGACUACUCAUCUUCCAUAAAAAGGGUAACACUACCAUCCAUCCUCUAAAAAAUAUUAUACCUGUAUAGAUGUCAUAUUUGUUGAACAUAACCAUUCUUCUCAGAGUCGCAUCUUCAGGAUGAGAAGUUACUUAAAGAAGAUAGUGAAUAUCAAUCCACCACUAAAGGCAAAUAGUCCACCACUAGUCAAGACUCUACUCCACCUUCAAAUGAACCUGUGGCUAUACCAGUGUCUACCCAUCCUUAUGACUCCAUGAGAUUUUCUCAGGUUUAUCAAUUAACCAACAAAGAAAACAAGUCAUUCCAAACCUGAAACAAGUCCAAGCUGCCAACUCAGGCCCUGCUAAACUUUGAUGUUCCUAUUGCUAUUAAAAAAGGUACCAGAGAAUGUACAAAGUAACCAAUAUAUCCACUAUCCCACUAUGUAUCACUUAAUCGGUUUUCACCACUUCAAAGGAAUUUUAUUGUUAGUCUAAACACUAUCUCUAUUCCCAACAAUUUAUUUGAAGCAUUAUCAAAAGAAGAAUGCAGGAAUGCUAUGAGAUAGGAGAUGGAUGCACCAGAGAGAAACAAGACAUGGAAGAUUGUUGACAAGCCAAAUGGGAAUAACCUCAUUGGUUGUAAAUGGGUUUAUACUGUGAAAUACAAAGCUGAUGACUCACUUAAGAGAUUUAUAAGCAAGGCUGGUUGCUAAGGAAUAUACUUAGACAUACGAAGUAGAUUAUUAGGAGACAUUUGCUCCAGUAGUGAAGAUAAACAGAAUCGGAAUAUUGUUUUUUAUCUUUAGCAGCUCACUUUAAUCGGCAAUUUCAACAAUAUGACGUGAAGAAUGCGUUUUUAUAUGGGGACUUCGAAGAAGAGAUCUACAUGAGCAUUCCACUGGGUUUUGAAGGGGAGAAGAUAGGCAAAAAGGUGUGUGUAGACUGAGAAAAGCUCUAUAUGGGCGUAAACAAUCACCUAGAUCAUGGUUUAGAAGGUUUGCUAGAGUGAUCAAAGCAACUAGAUAUAAAUAAAGUCAAGGAAAUCAUACUCUUUUCAUUAAACAUUCGGCCUCAGGAGGAGUGAUAGCUCUCUUAGUGUAUGUUGAUGAUAUUUGUAUAACCCCAAAUAAUUCUAGAUACCUUAGUAGUACUAAGACAUGAAUAUUGGAUGACUAAAGUAUACUUCAGAUUUUUAAUCUCAUUUGAGACCCAUUUUCGACAUAGAAAACAUUCGAUUUGGAAAAUGAUAUCUAAAUAAAAGUUGUAACUCUUUGAGUUAGCUUUCCAAUGCACUUUGAAUUAUCUCAAUCGAACAUCAGGAGAAAAAGUUAUGAUAGAAA